rnacentral:rRNA from 1 species
AUUGAACGCUGGCGGCAUGCCUAACACAUGCAAGUCGAACGGAAGCAGGCCGCUAGCUGCUGGCUUCAGGGGCACAGGGGUGUGAUACACCUAGAAGUCCCCCUUCGUGGGGGGUAUCACGUCGGAAAAGGAGCGCUAAUCCCGUACGCUCUCUGGGGGAGAACGGGGGGCCUCAACGGAUCUCACGCUUGCAGCUGCGGCUAUGUCGGAUUAGGUAGUUGGUGGGGUAAAGGCUUACCAAGACAACGAUCUGUAGCUGGUCUGAGAGGAAAACCAGCCACACUGGAACUGAGACACGGCCCAGACUCCUACGGGAGGCAGCAGUGGGGAAUUUUGGACAAUGGGCGAAAGCCUGAUCCAGCAAUGCCGCGUGUGGGAAGAAGGUCUUCGGGUUGUAAAGCGCUUUUGUUUGGAACGAAGCGGAGUAGGUUAAUACCUGGCGGUAUUGACGGUACCGAAAGAAUAAGCACCGGCUAACCACGUG